GUCGACCCAACUGCCAUAGAUUCUCUCUCCUCUCUCUCUCUCUCACCUCUGAAUCAUUUCAUUGAUUUGACUUUUAGUUAACCUCUUCUGCGUCUCAAUACACACACACUCUCUCCCUGUCUGCCCGCAAUUCCGUACCGUUCAUGGCCUCCACUGCCAAUACGGCCCCUCCCAGAGCCCCCCAACCUCCUUCCUCCUCCAGACCCCCCAGAAACCCUACCCCCAAUCCUCCCCCCGACCCCCCGAAUGCAAACCCUAACCCUAAUCCCGUCCCUGAUCCUCCCUCCACGGCCGCCGCAGCGUCCAACACAUUCGCGCCGCCGCCCGAAGCCGUGGCCCUAUCCCGCGCCACCCACCUCACUCGCCCCGAGGUCCUCCGCCUCCGAUCCCACCGCCUGAAGCAGCUCGCCCGAUGCUACCGCGACCAUUACUGGGCCCUCAUGGAGGAGCUCAAGGUCCAGUACAGGGAAUACUACUGGGUACACGGCGUCAGCCCCUUUAGGGACGCGUCCGAGCCGGAGGCGCGUGAGCCCCACCCCCCGGACUUGGAGCACCCUGGGGAAGAUCCCCACAACAAUAACAACGCCGCCGCCGCCGCCGCGACGGGUGGUAAGGGAGUAUGCGCUUUUGUCGGGUGUAAAACCAAGGCCAUGGCUUUGACCAGCUUCUGCAAUCUCCAUAUACUCUCCGAUUCGAAGCAGAAGCUGUAUAAGCCGUGUAGUUUCGUAAUCAAGAGUGCGCAAGCAGGACCUAUAACAUGUUCAAAGCCAAUUCUGAGAUCCACUGUUCCUUCUCUUUGUUCACUCCACUCCCAGAAAGCACAGAGGGAUGUCUCACGGGCCUUGAGAAAAGGGGGUCUCAGUGUUGCUUCAUCCAAUAAGCUUGCUUCAAAGUUCCACGUCAUUGUUGCAGAAUAUGUAAGACAGAUUCAGGCGAAAAGAAGAGCUACACGUGAUGCAAGUCAAAUCAAAGUUGUGGUUAAGGAAGAAACUGCUAGCUAAACCUUGGAAUUAAGUGCGUUCAAAUCAUGAAAAGAAACUGCAUGAUUGGCUUCUAUGACGCACCCUUGAAGGUGAUUUACACCUCUCAUUGCACAGGAGCAGGGUAGAAGGAAUUUGGAUGACAUUCAAAAAUGAAUACGAGCUUUCUGCUCUCAUAGGUAAUCGGAAAAUGUAUAGCCAGAGACAUGAGCAGCUUCAUAGACAUAGGGAUUUGAGUUUACAUUAUUGUUCCUUUCGCUAGUUCGGGGAUGAAUAAGGGUAGUAUAGCUCUGGGUUUCUUGUUUGUUUUGUAUUGCAUCAAUCUUCUUUGCUUCUUAGCUCUUUUAUUUGCAUUUGCCUUUGCCUUUUGGACUUUGGAGGGAAAAAAAGGAAAGAGAAUUGUCUUUGUGAUACAAACAACUCUUUUUUUCUUCCAUAGAUAAUUCAUCUAUUAUCUAAUAUGUA